GAAAUGUAUAAGCCAUUAUGAAAGCUGCUAACUUUACAUAAUAGCGGUUUAACUCCGUUAACAUUUCU
rnacentral:tRNA from 1 species